GAUGAAGAACGCAGCGAAAUGCGAUACUUGGUGUGAGUUGCAGAAUCCCGUGAACCAUCGAGUCUUUGAACGCAAGUUGCGCCCGAAGCCAUCAGGUUGAGGGCACGUCUGCCUGGGCGUCACAUAUCGUUGCCCAAUGCCUAUUGCAGUGCAAUAGGAAUUUCUAGGGCGAAUGAUGGCUUCCCGUGAGCGUUGUUGCCUCGCGGUUGGUUGAAAAUCGAGUCCUUGGUAGGGUGUGCCAUGGUAGAUGGUGGUCGAGUUAGAACGAUACCGAUCAUGUGCAUGCUCCCCAAAAUAUGGCCUCUAUGACCCACACGCGUCUUUUGACGCUCAUGACGAGACCUCAGGUCAGGCGGGGCUACCCGCUGAAUUUAAGCAUAUCAAUAGCGGAGGA
rnacentral:misc_RNA from 1 species